UCUGCCCCACUGAAGGCCAGCUGGGGAGGAGUCUCAUGUUUUCUGUAAAGGGCUAAGAGAUCAGCUGGAAGGGAACUGAAGGUGGGAGAUGGGCUCCUGCUGUAGCCCCUGAAGCAGGGGUGUUUCCUCCUUUCAGUACUGAGAGGCGCAAGGGGAAAAACCUCUGAACGGUCAUUCACAGUGGGAAGAGGAACUGCUUUUUACAUUUUGUCCAAGUUAUUUAUGGUGAGGAAUAACACUGUGCCCUAAGAGAGACUUGGGCAUGGCAGUGAGCCCUUCCUGGACUGAGGAAACAGGCCAGCAGCCCACACAGGGUGGGAAGUACAGGCACGCAAAUGGUUCUGGAACUGAGGAGAAACUCAUGUAGCAGUUGGCCCAAAGCCAGACUAGGUAGGCACCACUACUACACCCAUUUUAUAGGUGUGGGAUCUGAGGCAAAUAGAAUUAACUGCCCAAGAUCACACAGGAAGUCUUUGGGGGAGCAGGGACUUGACCCAGGUCUCCCAGCUUCUAGGCUAGCACUGUAAUCGCUGGACCAUCCCUUCUUCAUCUGCUAGACUGAAGAGGCAUCUGUCAAAUUUCUGUUCUCCAUGUUUCUCCUGCCAUCCACAUGUGAGGGACCAUGAGCAAAGAGCAUUGCACAUGAAACAGCAAACAAAGCCUGCAGAUUAAACUGAGUUGGCUUCAGGGGAUAAUUGACACAAAUCACAGCUACUAAAAAGAUACUGGCUCCUUAGAACCUGUCACACAGUGCAAAGAGACAAAGAGCGAGAGUGUAAAGCAGGCCUGGAAAACAAAAUAGCAGAAGAUGUCAUUUCAGAGGAUAAGAAAAAUCAGGAUUUGUAAAGCAGCUACCUAGGACAACGAGACAGUUGGGAGGAAAGAGCAAGGCACAAUGGAGAGUGCAGCUCCCAAAAAUGGGCAAACAGCAAGAUCAGGCAGUGUUGGAAAAAGGAAAGGGAAGAAGGAUAAGCAGCAGGAUAGGUAGUUGUUUGAACAGCACUGUGGGUUACAAUUAGACAUGUAUAUGAAAUAAGAAGCAAGUGUGGGAAGAGAAGAGCCUGCAACAGGGAAAGAUGACCAGCUGCCUGGGAGGAAAGGAGACCGAACAGAAAAAGGUUUUGGCAAAAGAAAAAGGAUGCAUGACAAGAAAAGAGAAGGAGUUGGAAAGAAAAACACACACAGUAGUACAGGGACAGAGAGAGACUGAUAGAAGACAGACAACUUUCUGGCUACAUUAUCUUUCAAUUAAAAAAAGAUUAUAGGAUAAAAAGAAAUACUCCAGAGGAAAGAAUGAAGGUAGAUUAUUGUCCCAGCAAAUCUAGGUCAAAUUAUGGACCAGAUUGUGAAUCUCUGAUUCACAUUUGGGAGCAAUUACUUGCAUAAAUAGUCCCAUC